GAGGCUUUAGCUUAAUUAAAGUGUCUGAGUUGCAUUCAGGAKAUGUAUACUAAAGUUGUGCAGGUCUUC
rnacentral:tRNA from 1 species